GAACACAAAAUGGCGACACGUGGUUAGCAUUCGUCGCCAACGAGAAAUUGGGGUCGGCCCGAAAGCUCUAGAAUGCACCCCUCUUCCUCCCCGGGGCCUUCCACCUCCGCGAGUUUUAUGACUUAAAAAAGCCCACAGGCUGGUCUGAAGAGGAAGACAAACAUAAAGAUGAAGUGCUUAAUUCAAGGUCACACAAUGUCGGGGAUGGACCUCCAGAUUUCCUUACUGGUGAGACGUGGUCUUGUAACACAGUGGUUAAGAAUGUGACUUUGGAGCCAGCCUGCUAGGGGCUGAAUUCUGACUCAGCCAUUUACUAACUGUGUGACCUUAGGGAGGAGGACCUGGUUGAUAGAAGAAUUUAUCUCGUAGUCUUAACAUCCACUGUAAUUCCAAACUUUGAGGACGAUAGAGAUCAGUGGGCUUUGACUGCCCAGCAUGCAGUCUCCAUUCUUAGGUGGGUUCCCAAGCCUGUAAAAUGUAAGCCUUAUGCUGCUGAGGGCCAUCUUGCCACCCUGAGGGAAACGCUGCCUGAGAAUGAAACAAGC
rnacentral:lncRNA from 1 species